rnacentral:rRNA from 1 species
GGGAAUCUUCCACAAUGGGCGAAAGCCUGAUGGAGCAACGCCGCGUGGGUGAAGAAGGUCUUCGGAUCGUAAAACCCUGUUGUUAGAGAAGAACAAGGACGUUAGUAACUGAACGUCCCCUGACGGUAUCUAACCAGAAAGCCACGGCUAACUACGUGCCAGCAGCCGCGGUAAUACGUAGGGGGCUAGCGUUAUCCGGAAUUACUGGGCGUAAAGGGUUCGUAGGUGGUUUCUUAAGUCAGAGGUGAAAGGCUACGGCUCAACCGUAGUAAGCCUUUGAAACUGGGAAACUUGAGUGCAGGAGAGGAGAGUGGAAUUCCUAGUGUAGCGGUGAAAUGCGUAGAUAUAUGGAGGAACACCAGUGGCGAAGGCGGCUCUCUGGUCUGUAACUGACGCUGAGGCUCGAAAGCGUGGGGAGCA